AAAUUUCAAUCUAACAGCAUCUGUUUCACUGGCAGAGGCCCACCUGUUGUGCCUUCUCAUGUUUAAUAAGAUGCAUCACGGAGUAGCGUUUUCUCAUCAAAUGCAUUCAAGUAUUUCAUCUUGCUUCUUGGAUGAAGAGUAUUUGACAAAGUAAUAUAAAAGAAGGGAUAUAUUUCGCGUCUUUGGAAGAAAAUUCACAUUUAACUCGCGGUUGCUUCAGGGGAUAUUCUUGAGAUAUUUCCCCUGAGAGAAAAGAAAAUCACAUAAACAUCCACAGGAGUAGAAGUAAUUGAAACAAGCUGGCUGUUUGCUGUUAACGACUGGCAGUGGAUUCAGAAGACACCUUUAAUGAACGCCGAAAUUCUGCCCCGAUGCUGGAAGGUCACAUUGUGAGAUAAAUGUCAAGGAUAUCAUUAUGUGAGAGCAGCAGAAAUGAAAAAACUUAUUUCUCCAGUGUGUUUAUAAAUGAGAGUUUGUGCUUCAAAUCAUCAUAUACUGCCUGUAUCACAGUGCCACAAUAAAUUCUGACAAUGUAAGGAAAUAAA